GACCACGUAGCUCAGUUGGCAGAGCAUUGGGCUAGUAUUCCAAAGGUCGUAGGUUCGAACGAUUCCCACCGUGGCCA